UACGUAGGUCCCGAGCGUUGUCCGGAUUUAUUGGGCGUAAAGCGAGCGCAGGUGGUUUAUUAAGUCUGGUGUAAAAGGCAGUGGCUCAACCAUUGUAUGCAUUGGAACCUGGUAGACUUGAGUGCAGGAGAGGAGAGUGGAAUUCCAUGUGUAGCGGUGAAAUGCGUAGAUAUAUGGAGGAACACCGGUGGCGAAAGCGGCUCUCUGGCCUGUAACUGACACUGAGGCUCGAAAGCGUGGGGAGCAAACAGG
rnacentral:rRNA from 1 species